AUGAACGCUGGCGGCGUGCCUAAUACAUGCAAGUCGAGCGAACAGACGAGGAGCUUGCUCCUCUGACGUUAGCGGCGGACGGGUGAGUAACACGUGGAUAACCUACCUAUAAGACUGGGAUAACUUCGGGAAACCGGAGCUAAUACCGGAUAAUAUAUUGAACCGCAUGGUUCAAUAGUGAAAGACAGUUUUGCUGUCACUUAUAGAUGGAUCCGCGCCGCAUUAGCUAGUUGGUAAGGUAACGGCUUACCAAGGCAACGAUGCGUAGCCGACCUGAGAGGGUGAUCGGCCACACUGGAACUGAGACACGGUCCAGACUCCUACGGGAGGCAGCAGUAGGGAAUCUUCCGCAAUGGGCGAAAGCCUGACGGAGCAACGCCGCGUGAGUGAUGAAGGUCUUCGGAUCGUAAAACUCUGUUAUUAGGGAAGAACAAAUGUGUAAGUAACUAUGCACGUCUUGACGGUACCUAAUCAGAAAGCCACGGCUAACUACGUG
rnacentral:rRNA from 1 species